UCGUGUUUCUUCACAUUGGCUACCUUCAGUUUCUCGGUCUUGAGACUCUCACGGAGUGCGUCAUUCUCAAAUAAUUCGGAGAGAAGGUCCAUUUGAAGGUUCUUGAUAUAAUGUUCUAGUUCUUGAUUAUACACCAGUACAAGUGAAAACUUCACGUUCUGCUCGUCUGUCAGGAUGAUGUGUGCUCUCUCAGGCUUCUGCCAUCCAAGUCUUCCAAAGUAGUGG
rnacentral:lncRNA from 1 species